rnacentral:rRNA from 1 species
GAUGAACGCUGACAGAAUGCUUAACACAUGCAAGUCUACUUGAAUUCACUUCGGUGAUAGUAAGGUGGCGGACGGGUGAGUAACACGUAAAGAACUUGCCUUACAGUCUGGGACAACUAUUGGAAACGAUAGCUAAUACCGGAUAUUAUGAAUUUUCCGCAUGGAAGAUUUAUGAAAGCUAUAUGCGCUGUAAGAGAGCUUUGCGCUCCAUUAGCUAGUUGGUGAGGUAACAGCUCACCAAGGCGACGAUGGAUAGCCGGCCUGAGAGGGUGAACGGCCACAAGGGGACUGAGACACGGCCCUUACUCCUACGGGAGGCAGCAGUGGGGAAUAUUGGACAAUGGACCAAAAGUCUGAUCCAGCAAUUCUGUGUGCACGAUGACGGUCUUCGGAUUGUAAAGUGCUUUCAGUUGGGAAGAAAGAAAUGACGGUACCAACAGAAGAAGCGACGGCUAAAUACGUGCCAGCAGCCGCGGUAAUACGUAUGUCGCAAGCGUUAUCCGGAUUUAUUGGGCGUAAAGCGCGUCUAGGUGGUUUGAUAAGUCUGAUGUGAAAAUGCGGAGCUCAACUCCGUAUUGCGUUGGAAACUGUCAAACUAGAGUAUCGGAGAGGUGGGCGGAACUACAAGUGUAGAGGUGAAAUUCGUAGAUAUUUGUAGGAAUGCCGAUAGAGAAGUCAGCUCACUGGACGAAUACUGACACUGAAGCGCGAAAGCAUGGGGAGCAAACAGGAUUAGAUACCCUGGUAGUCCAUGCCGUAAACGAUGAUUACUAAGCGUCGGGGGUCGAACCUCGGCACUCAAGCUAACGCGAUAAGUAAUCCGCCUGGGGAGUACGUACGCAAGUAUGAAACUCAAAGGAAUUGACGGGGACCCGCACAAGUGGUGGAGCAUGUGGUUUAAUUCGACGCAACGCGAGGAACCUUACCAGCGUUUGACAUCCUAAGAUGAG